CCUACGGGAGGCAGCAGUGAGGAAUAUUGGUCAAUGGGCGAGAGCCUGAACCAGCCAAGUCGCGUGAAGGAUGACGGCCCUACGGGUUGUAAACUUCUUUUGUCAGGGAGCAAUUGGGUCCACGCGUGGGCUUAGCGAGAGUACCUGAAGAAAAAGCAUCGGCUAACUCCGUGCCAGCAGCCGCGGUAAUACGGAGGAUGCGAGCGUUAUCCGGAUUUAUUGGGUUUAAAGGGUGCGUAGGCGGAAUAUCAAGUCAGCGGUAAAAAUUCGGGACUCAACCCCGUCGUGCCGUUGAAACUGAUGUUCUGGAGUGGGCGAGAAGUAUGCGGAAUGCGUGGUGUAGCGGUGAAAUGCAUAGAUAUCACGCAGAACUCCGAUUGCGAAGGCAGCAUACCGGCGCCCAACUGACGCUGAAGCACGAAAGCGUGGGUAUCGAACAGGAUUAGAUACCCCAGUAGUC
rnacentral:rRNA from 1 species